CACCCCCGAAUCACCGCGUAGCCAGCUCAGGCUAUCGGAACCAACAUCAUUAGCAUAGCAAUAAAGAUGCUCAACCCAAUGAAAAAGAAUACUUACAAGCCAUCCUUAUUGUCAGCAUACCCGCCGUUGUAGAAAACGCGCUCACAGUCGCAGAAACUUCCGUGUAAGGACCUUGAAGCAAAAGGACCAAAAACCGGCCCUUUCACUUCAAGGCCACUUACACUACAGUUUCUAAGCGCUCCUGCUCGCGCUCUCAGACCAAUGAGCGGUUAUUUUUUUGCAUUGGUGCUAAAAUAGAAAGGUCAAAUAAGGUCAAUCAAGGAAGUGAUCAUUUUUGAACCAGGUUGUUAUCUUUGGCAUCAUGUUGGCAAUCGUCAUUUUAGGCAACAUCUUGGCACGGCACGUUCCUAAGAUUCCGUUGCCAUUCUUCUUGAUCGGCCUUGGGGCGGCAUUAGCCGUUAUGCCUUCUCUUCGUAAUUUCACACUUGAUCCAUCGGUCUUCUCCUUUGCGAUCAUUGCCCCACUGUUGUUUAACGAAGGUCAAAAUGCUUCACGUAUUCAAAUUGGCCGCUCCUUAACCAAUAUCGUGUCGUUGGCAGUUGGCCUCGUGCUGGUUUCGGUCAUUAUCUUAGGCUUUGGCGUUCAUGCGUUGUUCCCAAUUAUUCCGUUAAGUUUGGCCUUCGCACUCAUUGCCAUCGUCACGCCAACAGAUGCAUCAGCGGUCAGCGCCGUUGCCCAAACCAAUCCUUUGAGCGACAGCCAAAUGCAACUAUUGUCCAAUGAAAGUCUGUUCAACGAUGCAGCCGGCAUUGUCGCAUUCGAUCUGGCACUGACUGCCUAUGUUUCCGGACAAUUUUCACCAACAGACGCCUUGCUCGAUUUUCUCUUCGUCUUCUUCGGCGGUAUCCUGGUCGGGGCAGUCUUAGGUAUGCUGAUCGUGAAUUUGCGGGCCUGGCUGAUUCAUAUCGGCGACGAUGAGCCGUUGAUCAUGGUCGGUAUUCAGUUACUGACGCCAUUGUUGGUUUAUUUUCUAGCCGAAGAACUUGGCCUGUCCGGGAUUCUGGCGGUUGUUGCUUCUGGGAUUGCGCAAGGUGUAGAGCGCGAUCGUUUGCGACUGACCAGUGCCCGCAUGCAAAUCGUCAGCGCCAAUGUCUGGGAAAUGGUAGCGGCCAUUCUUUCCGGACUCGUCUUCGUUUUGCUCGGCCUCUCGCUGCCCAAUGUCAUCGUCAGCGCCUUGCGCGGACAAGCUGGCUUGUUCAGUUUGCUUGUGGGUAUUGGCAUUUUCAUUUACGCAGCCAAGUCACUGGUUCGCCUACUAUGGAGUCGAACCUUGCUGCGAACUGGUAAAAAACACCGCUGGCGCAACGCCGUCAUUAUGAUGCUGGGUGGUGCGAAUGGGACCAUCACCUUAUCUUUGGCGUUUUCAAUGCCACAAAUUGUUAAUGGCCACAGUUUUCCGCUCCGGCAGGGAUUAAUUCUGAUCGCGGCAACUGUCAUUUUACUCAGUCUGAUUGUGCCGGUACUGGUUCUACCAUUCUGCGUGCCUAAGCAGCCAAAACGCAAUCGCC
rnacentral:rRNA from 1 species